rnacentral:tRNA from 1 species
CACCGUGUAGUGUAGUUGUUAGCACGCUCGACUCCCACUCGAGAGGAUCCGGGUUCGAGUCCCGGAGGCGGUGA